rnacentral:lncRNA from 1 species
CUUGUUUAUAAAACAUAUUCAGAUUUUUAGUGGGGAGAUGGUAGGAAGUUGUUAGCUCCUUGUGAGAAGAGUUUCUCUGCUUAUUAUGUUACAUCAUUUUUUGCUAUUGUUGUUUCUCGGUCCUGCUUUAAAAAAAAAAAAAAAAAAGAAAGGCAAAUAAGUAUAGGAACAGUAAAAACUUCCUGUAUGUUCAUGAAAGAAAUAUGUCCUUUGUUUAGUUCUUUUGCACAUUUGACCAAGUAUGAUUUUUCCUCUUUUUUAAUCUUAAGCAUCAUUUAAUUUGGAAGAAACUUUUAACAUUUUCUGAAAUAUAAUUGCAAGAAAACUAUUUCUUGCUGGAAACUUUAUAAACCCUUUAUUUCUCUAAGGAGAAAACUGGGUUGAUAUUUUCCAUCCCUCACAUGCCUGUGAUGAGAUAACUGACAGCAGCUGUUGGAGUGGGACAGGUACUAGAGGCAGCUUCCAUCAGCCCAGCUGGGCUGGGGCUGCUGCUGGAGCUCUGGGUAUUCAGAGUGGGCUGGCAGCUGGCUGGGUCAGGAGCUGUGCUAGUGCAUGCAGGUACACUUGAAAACAAUCCAAGAAAAUGAUGAGGGUUUGCUUCUGAUGUAAUGACGUAUCCCCCUGACAUCACAGUGAAGAAUGAAUGUUUCUCCCUACAAAAAUCACAGAGCUAUAAGAACACAUUUGGGAGGAAGGAAAGGGGGAAGGAAAAAAGAAAACGAUACACAAACACAUUUGAAAACUACAGCUACUUCAGUGAAAAAGAUCAUUCUGCUCAGGGCUGCUGUUUCAAUAGAGCUCCGUUCUCGGCCUCGUCAUUUAAGUUCCCCAUUUAAUUUAUAUAUAAAAAAUUCAACAGGUUUAAUGUUCCAGUUUCUCAUUCUUUUAAUUAAAAUGGAAAAUAUGCCCCUUUGUGUACCUCUUCAAGUACUGAAGAUUUGAGCCAUCUAAGACAGCUGUAAAGAAGAUUUUGCAGAACUUUGUGUUUCUGUCUUGUUCCUUAAGAUACACUGGACAAAAGAGAGAUGAUAAACUUUAAAUGUUGAAUUUAUUAGAAGCAUAACGAACAAUAAUAAACUUGAUUUUACCAAGGCA